GCGCAGAACGCGGCGGUCAGCUGCGCCCGGCCUGAAGUUGUCCCAACCGCGGCCGCGUCGGUCGCCCUUUUGACUUGCAGCAGGGCGGGCAGAGCGACUUAGAGGAAAAGUGACUUUUUGUACCCUCCUGCAGGGAGCAGGUUCUCUGUCCUUGUUUAAUUAGACAUUUCUCAGGUGGGCACUUUGAAUUCCUUCCAGUCAAGACUCAGGUGUUCAACUUGUUUUGUCGGCCGUCUUCCUCCACCCUUCUUCUUCCAUUCAAAACAAAAAGAAUCCUGCCUCUGCUCUGAAGCCUUUCUGUUCGCUCCAGUGAAAAUUAGUCAUCCACCGGGCGCGGUGGCUCACGCCUGCAAUCCCAGCACUUUGGGAGGCCGAGGUCUGGGCUUGAUGUUCACCGAUUUUCCCUCAGCUCCGACUGUGGCUCCUCUCAGCUGACUCUGACCCUGCUCUCAGCCGGGCUGCAUCUGCCCAGCUCAGCACAUCAAUAAACAGCAGAGGGAAACUACCACCUUGGAAGGAGCCAGGCAGUUUCUGCUGGGCAGGCCGCAGCCCGGAGCAUGGAAGUAGCUUCUUCCAUCCUACGCUGGAAACCACCCAGCAUCCCGGGCCCUCCAGAGAGGAGCCAGACUCUCUUCCCUGGGAAGAGACUAUAGUCCUAUCUGUAUCCUCCAUGGUCAUUGCCCCUCAGUCACAGCAAUGAGGAGCAAAUUACCUGUUUUCUGUAUGUUCCUCUGACAACAACUGCCACAGAGUAAAUAUGAAAGGUUCUGGAUGAUUCCUUGUCAGCUUUUAUUAAAAUUCCACAUACUUGGCA
rnacentral:lncRNA from 1 species